UCUAGCUCCCACCUAUCUGCAGCAAAAAGAAUUUCUAAGACAGAAGAUCUGUGUCUAUGUAUAUAAUAGAUUCAGGGUAUCUAACUAGUUGAAUUUAAAGCUUGAUGUCAAAUGAAAUUCAAUAAGGAUAAAUGCUAAUUAAUGUAUAUUCCAGUAAAUAAUUUGAUUUAUACACAUUACUGGGUUCAAAAUUAACUGAAGACACUCUGGGGGAAAUUAUUUACACAUAUAUAUAAAACUAGGGAAACAAUGUGAACCCUUUAUUAUUUUCCACUUCUCUAUUAACCAUUUGUAUUGCAACAGAGCCUGCGGACACUGAUUGAACAUCUGUGCAUAUGCAUUGCACAGAGUGAAAAGUCUACAGCCUGAAAGACUUCGCAAUCCAAGUGUAACAACAGUCAGGCAGAUGUGGGAGAACAAGGAAGCAAUGAGAUGGGAUCUUGUGCAUGUCAUUUUCAACACACACCAUUGUGCAGCACUGUGAAGAAAAGUAGUCCUACUCUUUACAACGUUUUUUACAAUAUGGCUUUGUCAUGCAGAGAGGCUCACCUAAAACUAUGAUUGGCAAGCUGACUGGUAUCAACCAAAACAUAUUAUGAGCAAGUUUCCUUUACCAUCUCCUCACUGGAAGUGUAAUUUGUAUUUCUUUCCCAUAUCUGGUUAAUAGAUCUUGCAAGAUUUGUAAAAAUCUGACUUUGUGACUUUGUGACCU
rnacentral:lncRNA from 1 species